UUUCUUGCUAGAGAAGGGUUAUCGCGUGGUGGCUCAUGAUCGCCGUGGUCAUGGUCGUUCUAGUCAAACAUGGGAAAAC
rnacentral:tRNA from 1 species